CACACUGCUGGCUACCACACUUGUAGAAGCCACAAGGUCCCAGCGCAGGACAGGCGCUCCACACCACAGAGGCCCGCAGUGUACUCCAGCUGCUCUGGCUGCUUUUCAGUAACUGUUACAGGUCUUCUUUACCACUGAGGAAAGACAGAAUCCUACUAGAGGCCAGAAAGAAUGUUCCAGACAUGGAUGGAAGGCCCUCACUCCUGUUGACUUCAAUACCCUUGAAGGCUAAAAGACCUACAGGUGAUACAGAAAGAAAUCUGCUCAGAGCUGGCAGCAGCCUAUGCCCUGGGGUCCCCCGAGACAUCUCAUCAGUUCCAGGUCAGAGACUCGGCUACAUAUGAUGGCACCGAACCCAGAUACUCGAGCCUCACUGGAAAGGACCGUACCUGGUGCUGACCACCCUGACAGCCAUCAAUUCUCAGCCCUUGCCAGCCGUUUACUACCUGUUGGGGCUGAGAGCUGGGACCUAGAGGGAAACUCAGAUCGUCAAAAAGCUCCCUAGAUUUAAUUUCAUGUUUGCCCUGGGUUCUACCGAGAUAGGUGUGGGGAUAGGCUUGAUUUCUAUUACAAAUGAUGUAACAUUGCAUACCUUAGUACUCCUAACACUUCUUGGGACUGUGCCUCAGGGAUCACAAUCUGUAUAAGUUUAGAAGUUCUAAAAGCUAGUCAUGACCUUGGUGUGUAGGUUUAGAUAGUGUCCAGAUUGGAAUCCUGAUGCUAAAGACUUAGUAAGAAAAAAAAAAAAGAGUUGAGAAUUACUUAAGGCUAUCUAGGUGCUGCAAGGGCAGCACAAGGACAUAUGCCCUUGCCUUGCAAUGCAAGGCUUAUAGAGAAUUCAGAACUGCCAUUGACUCAGAUAUAAAAAGAGUGAAAGACUUUAGCUGACCUCCAAGAAUACCUAACCUCCCUCUCAGAGGUAGUCCUUCAAAAUAGGAAAAGAUUAGACCUGAUAUUCCUUAAAGAAGGAGUCUGUGUGCUACACUGAAAGAAGAAUGUUUCUUCUAUGCAGACCAUUCAGGAGUAAUUAAAGACUCCAUGAAUAAACUUAGAGAAAUGUUAGACAAAAGACAGACAGAGAAGCGCAUCAGGGAUGGUUCGAGAGCUGGUUUAGUAGAUCUCCUUGGAUGACUACUUUGAUAUCUUCCCUUAUGGGACCCUUCUUAGUUUUGCUUCUGCUUAUGAUUAUAGGUCCAUGUGUGUUAAAGAAACUAAUUAAUAGGUUUGACUCCUACAAAAAGAUAGAGAUGCUCAACAAGGUUGGUUUGAGUCUUGGUUCACUUGGUCUCCCUGGAUGACUAUCCUACUCUCUGCUAUAAGGCUGGGCCAUUACUAAUAAUUUUCUUGGUUUUGGUUUUUGGACCCUGCGUGACAAACAGGUUAAUUGCUUUUGUUAAAAAUCGAGUGGGUGCUGUGCGGUUGAUGGUUCUGAGACAACAGUACCAGUCAGGACAACUGGUGAAACCAAAUACGAGACUUGAUAUAAAAAUUCUAAGAUUAGAAUUGCUUAGUAGAAGAAGAGGGGAAUGAAAGGAAAAUUAUACAGAUUUAAGGUUUAAAAAUAUGAAAGAAUAAGUUUCAAAAUUCAGACUCAGGGCUAAACAUUGUGAAAAGCAAGUCCAGUCAGCCCUGCCCUGCCACUAGGACUAACAGACCAUAAAGAUAAAGAAAAGGAAUGCAGGAAUCAGCCUGAGUUAUCAGGACCCCAGCUUACUCAGAGUCACACCUUAACCAGAUAUCCUUCAAACCCUGAUACGCCCCUAGCUCCUAAAAUCCUGUAUGCUCCAGUCAAUACGUACUCUCCUGUUGUGCUGUAAUCUCACUGCCAUGUUUAAAUGAGCCAAUCACUUAUAGCCACGCCAGAAAUUAGCCAAUUGUGUGUAACCGUGCCAAACCCCUUAGCCUUCCCUAUAUAAACCCCUGACUUUUGAGCUUCGGGGUUGACACCUCUGUCUCCUGCGCAGGAUACGUGUUGACCCGGAGAUCCCCGUAAUAGAUCUCCGUAAUAAACCUCGCCUUUGCUUAUUACAUCCAAAAUGGUCUCUCUGUGUCUGGGGUCCACGAUUUCCCACGACUUUAGAAAGGGUCUCUCUGCGUGGGAUCUUUCACUAACCAGAUAAACUAAAGUCUGUUUUCUAACAACCUUUGGUUUGGCUCUAAUUUUAUCUUCAAUUCCUACCUGAAUAUUUUCCCUAAUUGAGUUCCUCCCUCAAGGUCUGUGUCCAUGCUUCAUAUCUCUCCCUUUUGUUGUUCCUACUGUUUCAUAAGUUCCUGUAUUCUCUGUUUAAGGUUCUGCUUCCACAUUUAAACUUUUUCUUCAUAUUGUAAUUCUGAUAUUCUGCUGUCUAUUUUAUUUUGGUUGAUUAAAAGGUUCUUCUUCAAGCUUUGCUUCCAAUCCUCAGUAUAUAAUGCUAGUCCGUUCUGUGAAUUAUUGUAUCCUUUGUUCUAGUGCCUCUCCAGCUCCUGUCUCCAGCCUUCAUUUUCCUCUCUGUGUUGCUUAUCUUGACCUCUAAAUUCCUGUACCUUUAGUUCCAGCAUUUCCUCUAACCCCUUUUCUAAGGCUCAUGAUUUUCAUCUCGGGUCCUGUCUUUUGAGAAGACGUAGUAAACCAAGAUACUUAGCAUUGUACUAAUGCUAACUGGCAAAGUGUCAAUUUCCUUAAAGCCCAUCCUUGUCAAACCAUUCAAAAUAUCAUCUCACAAACCCCAAAAGGUAUUACUAUGUUUCUCAUCUUUAGUAUCUAAACACACACACACACACACAUACACACACACACACACACACACACACACACACUUAUUUAUUAUCAAUUUAUAAUUCUUAUUACCUGAUCCAGAGCUUCUUGUACCUGUGUCUUCUUCUGCUGUUUGACUUGGGACACUGUAGUUUGCUUCUGGGCCCUCCUGCCUUUGGGUUGUGGCCAGCUGAUUUCAGGGAGCCUGUAGUGCUGGCAGUUGGUAGAAAAGGCCUGCCUGUCCUGUGUCCUAUUUAGAUGUGAGGGAUAUGGGAAAGUGAGCAUGGAAAGGCUUGUUUGGGCAGAGGGGCCUGGAUCAGCCUACUGUGCCUGCAAGAAGGCGUUGGAAAGUUAACUGCUGGUUUUUCAGCAGUGAAAGCUAUUUCACAGGCAGUUGUGCCCAAGGGUCCUUCAUUCUUCAUUAGGCUCAGGAAACCCCCAACAGUGUUGUGGCACUGGUAUUGCCUAAGUCCCAGCUUGAGGUAGGGUUCUGUCUCAGAUUGCUGCAAUUUGCUUGGGAGUUGGAGAGGGAGCUUCUCAGUAGCUCUCUGUAGACCCCCUAGACCCACUCAGCAGUUAAGGUACACACUGCUGCAACUUUAGAGGACAGCCCUAGCUGUUUAUAUUGUGUGUGUGUGUGUGUGUGUGUGUGUGUGUGUGUGUGUGUGUGCGGGGAGGGAGUGUAUUUUUAUCUUAGGUUAGUUGGGUUUUAAGUCCCAUAUUGGGUGCCAAAUGUUGUAGUAAUUUCCAGCUCCAAUAAGUGGGUAUAAAAAAAAUAGACCAUCUAGUUAUUAUAUUUAUAAGUUACAUGUCUAGAUUGGGCAGAUCUAACACUAUACUAACUUAUUCCCCUACUAUGAGACCAUUUGUUAUUUGUAGUUCUUCUUGGCUAUGUCUUUCCCCCCCCAUCUUUGCUUCCUCCUCGUCGUCUUCCAUCCUCCCUCCUUCCCUUCUUCUUUUCCUCUUUUCUCAAAAACCUCUUGUUCCACAUUUUCCCUUCACUGCCUAAUCACAGGCUCUAUCGUUUAUUGACCAGUUAGAAUGGGGAGAAGGUUCAUAUGAGAUCACCUGAAUACAUGAUCCACUGCUCAUUCGGGCAACCUCUGUUGAGGAAGCAGAAUUAACAUCAGAAUACAAACAGCAUCAGGGCAACCCACAUAUGUUUGGACCUGUAUAAUUCCAAAAAUGUAUAAUGAGAGCCAGCAUAACUGGACCAGAGUAAAAAGGCACCUUCAGGGUAUUUGGCAUAUAAUAUUAAUAUUUCUUUAGUUUUGUUAGCUCUUCAUAAGGAGAUUGUAAGUUUAAGAAAUGCGAACUUUGUCUUUUGAAGCUGCUAGCAUUGCAAAUGAUAUUCUGAAAAAGUUAUAGGCCACUCUUCCUUCAUGGUCCUCAUUUAUAUCUGUUUUAUUGGGUGUACCAGGACUUGGCUUUAUGAUUCUUUUUAUUUAUUUUAUUUAUAUGUGAAUAUACUAUAGUUGUCUUCAGACACUUCAGAAGAGAGCAUCCUAUUACAGAUGGUUGUGAGCUACCAUGCAGUUGCUGGG
rnacentral:lncRNA from 1 species